rnacentral:rRNA from 1 species
CCUAUAAGACGAGAAGACCCCAUGGAGCUUUAAAUCCAACAGCACCUAUUACCCAUAUAUCUUUAUAUUUUUUUAGCAAAUGCUCGUUCGGUUUUAGGUUGGGGUGACCAUGGAGUAAAAAAUAACCUCCACGAAAAAAGGCAUAAAACCCUUAUCAAAGAGCCACAUCUCUAUGAAUUAGUAAACUAAUUUCUGAUGAUCCGAUAUUCGAUCAACGAACCAAGUUACCCUGGGGAUAACAGCGCAAUCCGCCUUAAGAGCCCCUAUCGACAG